GUUGUAGCUCAGCGGUAGAGUGCUCGCCUAGCACGUGUGAGGACCUGGGUUUGAUCCUCAGCACCACA
rnacentral:tRNA from 1 species